UGCGAAUUUAAAAACAAGUGAGGUACACGUCUCACCGUAUACGAUUGUGUGUUUUUUAUGGGAAGUUUGCCAUUCAGCCAUUGGUUUCCUUGGUUACCAGAUAAUCUCCACAGAGGACUCAGUUUCUUAGAGCCAGUGACAUUCAUAUAUACAGUGAGGUUACCAAUAUCAGCUCCAAGCAUAUGGUACCAGAACUUCAAGCAUCGUCCUUUCGAUGGUGUUGCUGUGAAUAGCUCGCUCUGGACGCGUGCGGUAUCGCCUGGGCGACGUGGCAGGGACGACUCGAUGAACAGAUAUUGACCUUG